UAAAGGUAUUCCGGUAGACGAUGGGGAUGCGUUCCAUUAGAUAGUAGGCGGGGUAACGGCCCACCUAGUCUUCGAUGGAUAGGGGUUCUGAGAGGAAGGUCCCCCACAUUGGAACUGAGACACGGUCCAAACUCCUACGGGAGGCAGCAGUGAGGAAUAUUGGUCAAUGGGCGAGAGCCUGAACCAGCCAAGUAGCGUGAAGGAUGACUGCCCUAUGGGUUGUAAACUUCUUUUAUAAAGGAAUAAAGUCGGGUAUGGAUACCCGUUUGCAUGUACUUUAUGAAUAAGGAUCGGCUAACUCCGUGCCAGCAGCCGCGGUAAUACGGAGGAUCCGAGCGUUAUCCGGAUUUAUUGGGUUUAAAGGGAGCGUAGAUGGAUGUUUAAGUCAGUUGUGAAAGUUUGCGGCUCAACCGUAAAAUUGCAGUUGAUACUGGAUAUCUUGAGUGCAGUUGAGGCAGGCGGAAUUCGUGGUGUAGCGGUGAAAUGCUUAGAUAUCACGAAGAACUCCGAUUGCGAAGGCAGCCUGCUAAGCUGCAACUGACAUUGAGGCUCGAAAGUGUGGGUAUCAAACAGGAUUAGAUACCCUGGUAGUCCACACGGUAAACGAUGAAUACUCGCUGUUUGCGAUAUACGGCAAGC
rnacentral:rRNA from 1 species